rnacentral:rRNA from 1 species
GACGAACGCUGGCGGCGUGCCUAAUACAUGCAAGUUGAGCGCUGAAGGUUGGUACUUGUACCAACUGGAUGAGCAGCGAACGGGUGAGUAACGCGUGGGGAAUCUGCCUUUGAGCGGGGGACAACAUUUGGAAACGAAUGCUAAUACCGCAUAAAAACUUUAAACACAAGUUUUAAGUUUGAAAGAUGCAAUUGCAUCACUCAAAGAUGAUCCCGCGUUGUAUUAGCUAGUUGGUGAGGUAAAGGCUCACCCAGGGGAUGAUACAUAGCCGACCUGAGAGGGUGAGCGGCCACAUUGGGACUGAGACACGGCCCAAACUCCUACGGGAGGCAGCAGUAGGGAAGCUUCGGCAAUGGACGAAAGUCUGACCGAGCAACGCCGAGUGAGUGAAGAAGGUUUUCGGAUCGUAAAACUCUGUUGGUAGAGAAGAACGUUGGUGAGAGUGGAAAGCUCAUCAAGUGACGGUAACUACCCAGAAAGGGACGGCUAACUACGUG